CCCCGUGACCUCUCUCUCUCCUGAAAUAAAUCCUGCCAACCUCUCUCUCUUCCCCCCAGAGAUACCCAAUUUCACGCCCUCCUCCUCCAAAAAUCGCUCAUCUCUGCCGUCCUCCUCCCAAAAUGGAGCCGUCAGCCCGCCGCGAGGCUCGUCGCGCGUGCCCCAAAGACACCACACCUGAUCGAGCCCUCUGAGCCGCCGCAUUCGCCUGCAACAGAUCCACCUGAUCUCGAUCUCCGCCGCGAGCCCUCUGAGCCCUCUGAGCUGUAGCCAAAUUCUCGGUAAUGAUUAAAAUUUUCUCGGUAAUGAAGGGCUUAAUAUUUUUGAGCUAUCUUGUAAAAUCCGAGUGAAUAGCAUCAAUGGUGGGUGGGUGGAACACAGGUUGAGCAUUCUCUUUUAUGUAGCUAUCUUGUAAUGUGAUUUGAGCUUAUAUUCAGCUACUUUGGUUGUAACUUUGGAGGUUAAGACUUUCUUUGAUGAAACUCUGUUUGAUGUUGUAACUCAUGAUGUAACUCUGUUUGAUGCUUGUAGCUUUGCUGUAGCUUAUAUUCAGCUACUUUGGUUAUAGCUCAAUUCUCUUUUAUGCAGCUAUCUUGUAAUGUGAUUUGAACUUAUAUGCAGCUAUCUUGUAAUGAUUAUUCAGCUACUUUGGUUA